UUAAUUCAAGGGUGUGCGACGAGUGGCCUUGUGCCGCGAAGCAAUCGGAAGUGGUUCCAAGAAAAGCCUCUAAGCUUCAGUCUAACGAGACCGUACCGCAAACCGACACAGGUGGGCGAGAUGAGUAUUCUAAGGCGCUUGAGAGAACUCGGGAGAAGGAACUCGGCAAAUUGGUACCGUAACUUCGGGAUAAGGUACGCCCUUGUAGUUUGACUGGCCUGCGCCAGAAGGACGAAGGGGUUGCAAUAAAUUGGUGGCUGCGACUGUUUAAUAAAAACACAGCACUCUGCAAACACGAAAGUGGACGUAUAGGGUGUGACUCCUGCCCGGUGCUGGAAGAUUAAAUGAUGGGGUGCAAGCUCUUGAUUGAAGUCCCAGUAAACGGCGGCCGUAACGAUAACGGUCCUAAGGUAGCGAAAUUCCUUGUCGGGUAAGUUCCGACCUGCACGAAUGGAGUAACGAUGGCCACACUGUCUCCUCCCGAGACUCAGCGAAGUUGAAAUGUUUGUGAUAUGCAAUCUACCCGCGGCUAGACGGAAAGACCCCAUGAACCUUUACUGUAGCUUUGCAUUGGACUUUGAACCAAUCUGUGUAGGAUAGGUGGGAGGCUUUGAAGCGGGGACGCCAGUUCUCGUGGAGCCAUCCUUGAAAUACCACCCUGGUUUGUUUGAGGUUCUAACCUUGGUCCGUUAUCCGGAUCGGGGACAGUGCAUGGUAGGCAGUUUGACUGGGGCGGUCUCCUCCCAAAGUGUAACGGAGGAGUUCGAAGGUACGCUAAUUACGGUCGGACAUCGUGAUGAUAGUGCAAUGGCAUAAGCGUGCUUAACUGCGAGACUGACAAGUCGAGCAGGUACGAAAGUAGGACAUAGUGAUCCGGUGGUUCUGUAUGGAAGGGCCAUCGCUCAACGGAUAAAAGGUACUCUGGGGAUAACAGGCUGAUUCCUCCCAAGAGUUCAUAUCGACGGGGGAGUUUGGCACCUCGAUGUCGGCUCAUCACAUCCUGGGGCUGUAGCCGGUCCCAAGGGUAUGGCUGUUCGCCAUUUAAAGUGGUACGUGAGCUGGGUUUAAAACGUCGUGAGACAGUUUGGUCCCUAUCUGCCGUGGGCGUUGGAAAUUUGAAGGGGGCUGCUCCUAGUACGAGAGGACCGGAGUGGACGAACCUCUGGUGUACCGGUUGUCACGCCAGUGGCAUUGCCGGGUAGCUAAGUUCGGAAGAGAUAACCGCUGAAAGCAUCUAAGCGGGAAACUUGCCUUGAGAUGAGAUUUCCCAGAGCCUUGAGCUCUUUAAAGGGUCGUUCGAGACCAGGACGUUGAUAGGCUGGGUGUGGAAGUG
rnacentral:rRNA from 1 species